UGAUGGAUGGCGGCUCCUCAUUCAUGAUGCCUAAACAGGAGACAAAUUCAUCAGGCAGGAGGGUCUGUUCUGGAACAGUUUCACUGGGUCUAAGGAAUCAACUGGUGGUUUGUGGACUAAAGAAUCUACUUCAUCACUGUUGCUGAGAUGGUUUCCCCCAUGGGCAAAAAGUGAACCCUGGGGGCCUUGAUAUGUGGACCAACCUGGCCUUGAACUUGUAAUGCUCCUGCCUUACAUCUCCUGAAUACUGUUUUCUUUUCUUUUCUUUCUCUAUCUUU